GCCUAGGAUGUUUUCAUUAAUCAAGAACGAAGGUUAGGGGAUCGAAAACGAUCAGAUACCGUUGUAGUCUUAACAGUAAACUAUGCCGACUAGGGAUCGGGCGAUCUCACUUUU
rnacentral:rRNA from 1 species